UAUGUAGGGGGCAAGCGUUGUCCGGAUUUAUUGGGCGUAAAGAGCUCGUAGGCGGUUCCGUAAGUCGUGAAGUCAAAUCUCUGGGCUCAACCCAGAAUCGCUUCCGAUACUGCGGUGACUGGAGUCCGGUAGGGGAGUGUGGAAUUCCGGUGGAGCGGUGAAAUGCGUAGAGAUCGGAAAGAACACCAACGGCGAAAGCACUCUGCUGGGCCGACACUGACACUGAGAGACGAAAGCUAGGGGAGCGAAUGGG
rnacentral:rRNA from 1 species